UCCCGUUCCCUCAGCCGCCGCACUCCACCUAUCUUCCCCUGUCGGCUCCCGAUCUAGCGCUUCCAUCUCCGCUCACCCUAUGCGUCGGGCCCCACCGGACGACACCAACUGCUGCGGCUAGACAACAGUCGGCGCCGUCCAUGACGCGCCCUUCCUCGGUUGCAGUCGACCAGCGCAUGGACGGCGAACCCAUGACGCUCUGGCCAUCUCAACCAGAUCGCCGCUGACAUCUUCUGCCGGCAGCGAGCCAUGGUGAGGUACAGGGGGCCGGCGUCGUCACGGAUGCAGAGUACAGGGCGCGACCGCCACGGAUCCAGCCUCUGCUUCGCCGAUGCAGCCCCCUUCUCUGUUGUAUCUCCUGACCACUGAUCCAUCUUUGGCCAACAGCGAACCAUGGUGAUGUACAGGGCGGCGCUGCCGUCACGGAUGCUGUGUUGUGUACAGGACACCACCGGCACGGAUCCAGCCUCUGCUUUGCCGAUGCAGCCCCCUUAUCUGUUGCAUAUCCCGUCUAGAUUGAUGUGCAUCUUGACACGCGACUUAUUGUACAUGUAGACUUUGUAACCAAGAAUUUAGUGAAGUUCGGUGAGGCACCUUAUGCUGGAUUAUGGAUCUUCAUAUUCUUUAAUUAUAAUUUUGCUAAAAGUGGAUACUCUGGUUAGUAAUGUUUAAAUGAUAUACAGAUGUUGUCAACUGGUCCAAGUCUCUGUACAAGUUUCAAUACAUGAAAUUUUCAAGUGAUUAAAUGUAUUGAUGUAUGUUCUGACAUCUUAAUGUAGAGCGGCCGGAUUUCUUAUUGGCUCACUUGUCUUAUGCAUAGUAAACACAUUACCAUGCUUAUAAAGAAUUCAUUUAAUCACAUCUGACUGAAACAUGGAGAGUAUCUAAUGGCCUCAUGUUCCCUUCUCUAUUAGUAUUUUAUAUUGACUGGUUCCUUCAUAAUGUGGUUAGGUUACUUGCGAAACUGUUUAGUUUGUGGCUACAACUUGUGAAGGUCCUUAUUUGGGUCUCGUCCAAAAAGAUGGAGCUAGAAAUUUUUCAUGUGAGCCUAAUUUUCAGAUUCAUGUUUUCAGUUUGUUCUGCCUCGAAAUGUCCAGUUUGUGUUCCAUGAUGGUAACUUGAAAUAUGAUAUCUUUGGUCCUGUAGGUAUUUUCCAUGUAAAAAUAUAUACUCUGAUGUCUAUUUGCCUUGGUUUUGUGCUAUUCAUAUCGGUGUUUAUAUAGGUUGACUGUACAUUCUGAAUAUUUUCUUCGGAUAUUUUUUAUUUGCUAGAAUAUGAUCGUUAAGGAGCAUGCCUAUGGAUUAUACCUUUCGUCUAUUUGAGCGUCUCCUUCAGGCUAGGUGUACUUAGAAAAUGGAGAAAUGUACUCCUUACAGAUCGACAUGCUAUUGUUAUGUUGUUGCAUCACAAAUCUGGAUGACCACAUAUCUCUUAUGAGAUUUGGAUAUUGAAUGAACCACCACCGCCGUCCACUAUGGAAGGAUGGGGUUUGCUGGACCUCCAAUGAGCAUUACGGUGUUUUUUUAGUGUUUUUUUAGAGAAUGAGCAUUACGGUGUUGGAGCGGAGAAGAGUCGUAUUUUUUUUCUAGGAACUGUUUUGCUUAUGUUCCUGGCUGUAAUUAUUUUUUUUGUAAUUUGUAUUUGAUUAAGAUUUUUUAACGGAAGUCUUUUGUUAGAUAUGUUCAGAAAUCUUUUAAGUACACAUUGGAUCAAAAUGUUAAUGAACC